GACGAACGCUGGCGGCGUGCCUAAUACAUGCAAGUCGAGCGAGACUCUUCGGAGUCUAGCGGCGGACGGGUGAGUAACACGUGGGCAACCUGCCUGUAAGACUGGGAUAACACCGGGAAACCGGUGCUAAUACCGGAUAAUCCUUUUCCUCUCAUGAGGGAAAGCUGAAAGUCGGUUUCGGCUGACACUUACAGAUGGGCGCGCGGCGCAUUAGCUAGUUGGUGAGGUAACGGCUCACCAAGGCGACGAUGCGUAGCCGACCUGAGAGGGUGAUCGGCCACACUGGGACUGAGACACGGCCCAGACUCCUACGGGAGGCAGCAGUAGGGAAUCUUCCACAAUGGACGAAAGUCUGAUGGAGCAACGCCGCGUGAGCGAUGAAGGCCUUCGGGUCGUAAAGCUCGGUUGUUAGGGAAGAACAAGUACCGGAGUAACUGCCGGUACCUUGACGGUACCUAACCAGAAAGCCACGGCUAACUACGUGCCAGCAGCCGCGGUAAGAC
rnacentral:rRNA from 1 species